rfam:Oryza meridionalis cultivar OR44 (W2112) chromosome 10, whole genome shotgun sequence.
UUUAAGUGCAGUUAUAAAUUUCGGUGUCCAACAUUUGAUCGUCUGUCUUUAUGUGUAUUUUUUAUAAUUAGUAUUUUUUAUUAUUAUUUGAUGAUAAAACAUGAAAUACUUUAUGUGUAACUUAUUUUUAAAAAAAAUAUAAAUUUUUUAAAUAAGACGGACGGUCAAACGUUCAACACGUAAAUCCACGACUGUAUUUAAA